rnacentral:tRNA from 1 species
UUGGAUGUAGCUCAGUGAUAGAGCUCCUGCCUAGCAUGUGUGAGGACCUGGGUUCUAUCCCCAGUAUCACAA